GUAUAAGAGACAGCAGCAGCCGCGGGAAUACGGAGGGUGCAAGCGUUAAUCGGAAUUACUGGGCGUAAAGCGCACGCAGGCGGUCUGACAAGUCAGAUGUGAAAUCCCCGGGCUUAACCUGGGAACUGCAUUUGAAACUGUCAGGCUGGAGUCUUGUAGAGGGGGGUGGAAUUCCAGGUGUAGCGGUGAAAUGCGUAGAGAUCUGGAGGAAUACCGGUGGCGAAGGCGGCCCCCUGGACAAAGACUGACGCUCAGGUGCGAAAGCGUGGGGAGCAAACAGGAUUAGAUACCCCAGUAGUCCCUGUCUCUUAUAC
rnacentral:rRNA from 1 species